GGUUGUUUGGCCGAGUGGUCUAAGGCGCCCGACUCAAGAGAUUUCUCUUAGCUGCUUUCAUAAGCAGGUGCAUUCGGGUCUCGCAAGAGGCGAGGGUUCAAAUCCCUCAGCAAUCA
rnacentral:tRNA from 1 species